GGAAUAUACAUAAAGUUCGUGGUUUGCGGUACGCCGCAUAGCGGGCAACCGUAUAGUGCGCAUGUAUCCAAAAGGUAGGGGCUUCGUAUAACGGAGGUUCCACUGUAUUCAUACGAUUUAAUAAAAUGUAAACAUUAAUUUAUAAUUAAAAAAUAGUUCAUACAUUUUUUUCAUUCAUACACAAAUACAGCAGGUACUUACAUACAUUUAUUAUAUUAUGCUGUCUUC